GGAGAAGUACUCAAGAGGCCGAAGAGGACGCACUGCUAACGCGUUAGGCGGGUGAAACCGUGCGAGGGUUCGACUCCCUCCUUCUCCG
rnacentral:tRNA from 1 species